rnacentral:rRNA from 1 species
ACAUGCAGUCGAGCGGAACGAGUUAUCUGAACCUUCGGGGAACGAUAACGGCGUCGAGCGGCGGACGGGUGAGUAAUGCCUAGGAAAUUGCCCUGAUGUGGGGGAUAACCAUUGGAAACGAUGGCUAAUACCGCAUAAUACCUUCGGGUCAAAGAGGGGGACCUUCGGGCCUCUCGCGUCAGGAUAUGCCUAGGUGGGAUUAGCUAGUUGGUGAGGUAAUGGCUCACCAAGGCGACGAUCCCUAGCUGGUCUGAGAGGAUGAUCAGCCACACUGGAACUGAGACACGGUCCAGACUCCUACGGGAGGCAGCAGUGGGGAAUAUUGCACAAUGGGCGCAAGCCUGAUGCAGCCAUGCCGCGUGUGUGAAGAAGGCCUUCGGGUUGUAAAGCACUUUCAGUCGUGAGGAAGGUAGUGUAGUUAAUAGCUGCAUUAUUUGACGUUAGCGACAGAAGAAGCACCGGCUAACUCCGUGCCAGCAGCCGCGGUAAUACGGAGGGUGCGAGCGUUAAUCGGAAUUACUGGGCGUAAAGCGCAUGCAGGUGGUUUGUUAAGUCAGAUGUGAAAGCCCGGGGCUCAACCUCGGAAUAGCAUUUGAAACUGGCAGACUAGAGUACUGUAGAGGGGGGUAGAAUUUCAGGUGUAGCGGUGAAAUGCGUAGAGAUCUGAAGGAAUACCGGUGGCGAAGGCGGCCCCCUGGACAGAUACUGACACUCAGAUGCGAAAGCGUGGGGAGCAAACAGGAUUAGAUACCCUGGUAGUCCACGCCGUAAACGAUGUCUACUUGGAGGUUGUGGCCUUGAGCCGUGGCUUUCGGAGCUAACGCGUUAAGUAGACCGCCUGGGGAGUACGGUCGCAAGAUUAAAACUCAAAUGAAUUGACGGGGGCCCGCACAAGCGGUGGAGCAUGUGGUUUAAUUCGAUGCAACGCGAAGAACCUUACCUACUCUUGACAUCCAGAGAACUUUCCAGAGAUGGAUUGGUGCCUUCGGGAACUCU